AUUGAACGCUGGCGGCAGGCCUAACACAUGCAAGUCGAGCGGAUGAAGGGAGCUUGCUCCUGGAUUCAGCGGCGGACGGGUGAGUAAUGCCUAGGAAUCUGCCUGGCAGUGGGGGAUAACGUCCGGAAACGGGCGCUAAUACCGCAUACGUCCUGAGGGAGAAAGUGGGGGAUCUUCGGACCUCACGCUAUUAGAUGAGCCUAGGUCGGAUUAGCUAGUUGGUGGGGUAAAGGCCUACCAAGGCGACGAUCCGUAACUGGUCUGAGAGGAUGAUCAGUCACACUGGAACUGAGACACGGUCCAGACUCCUACGGGAGGCAGCAGUAGGGAAUAUUGGACAAUGGGCGAAAGCCUGAUCCAGCCAUGCCGCGUGUGUGAAGAAGGUCUUCGGAUUGUAAAGCACUUUAAGUUGGGAGGAAGGGCAGUAAGUUAAUACCUUGCUGUUUUGACGUUACCAACAGAAUAAGCACCGGCUAACUUCGUG
rnacentral:rRNA from 1 species